rnacentral:rRNA from 1 species
AUAUCAAUAAGCGGAGGAAAAGAAACCAACAGGGAUUACCUCAGUAACGGCGAGUGAAGCGGUAACAGCUCAAAUUUGAAAUCUGGCUCUUUCAGGGUCCGAGUUGUAAUUUGUAGAAGAUGCUUUGGGUGUGGCUCCGGUCUAAGUUCCUUGGAACAGGACGUCAUAGAGGGUGAGAAUCCCGUAUGUGACUGGCUGCCUUCGCCUAUGUAAAGCUCUUUCGACGAGUCGAGUUGUUUGGGAAUGCAGCUCUAAAUGGGAGGUAUAUUUCUUCUAAAGCUAAAUAUUGGCCAGAGACCGAUAGCGCACAAGUAGAGUGAUCGAAAGAUGAAAAGCACUUUGGAAAGAGAGUUAAACAGUACGUGAAAUUGUUGAAAGGGAAGCGCUUGCAACCAGACUUGCCUGCCGUCGAUCAUCCUGGGUUCUCCCUGGUGCACUCGGCGGUGGUCAGGCCAGCAUCGGUUUCGGUGGUGGGAUAAAGGCCUUGGGAACGUAGCUCCUCUCGGGGAGUGUUAUAGCCCUCGGUGCAAUGCCGCCUACCGGGACCGAGGACCGCGCUUCGGCUAGGAUGCUGGCGUAAUGGUUGUAAGCGACCCGUCUUGAAACACGGACCAAGGAGUCUAACAUCUAUGCGAGUGUUUGGGUGUUAAACCCAUACGCGUAAUUAACGUGAACGGAGGUGAGAACCCUUUAGGGUGCAUCAUCGACCGAUCCUGAUGUCUUCGGAUGGAUUUGAGUAAGAGCAUAGCUGUUGGGACCCGAAAGAUGGUGAACUAUGCCUAAAUAGGGUGAAGCCAGAGGAAACUCUGGUGGAGGCUCGCAGCGGUUCUGACGUGCAAAUCGAUCGUCAAAUUUGGGUAUAGGGGCGAAAGACUAAUCGAACCAUCUAGUAGCUGGUUCCUGC